GUGGAGGUAGCUCAGUUUGUAGAGUGCUUGUCUAGUGUGCUGGAGGCCCUGGGUUUGAUUCCCUGCGUGCACC
rnacentral:tRNA from 1 species